GCCCGCUUGGCUCAGUGGUAGAGCGUGUCACUAGUAGGGGAUUCAGCUCACUUCUCAUGAAGUGGAUCAUUUCCAAUGACAAGGUCAUCAGUUCAAUUCUGAUAGUGGUUG